UUCCCAUGUCCGCCAUUUUCUUCAGCAUCAACAGUUUCAUUGUCACUUGCAAUACUCUGAGUACCAUUUGAGGCCUCAUCCAAAGCUUCUAUAUCUUUUACAUCUUCAACAGGUUUAUCAUCAGCUCCCUCAGACGACACUGAUGAAGGUUUACCAGGAACUUUCAUAUUUUUAUUAUUUUUAUCCAAAGAACUUUUGCUAGUAACUCUUGGUGGUUCCUUCUUUGCUUUUGCAGGUUUCUUAGGAGUGUUAUUCACUGCUUUAGGUGUAGAUCUACUAGCUCCAGUAUCCAAUCUCACUCUUGAUCCACGAGAACUUUCUGAGGAAUCCUUAUUGCUAACACUUCUAGGUACUCUUGGAACACUUUCUACUUUCUCAUCAUCU
rnacentral:lncRNA from 1 species